GACAGAGGGGGCAAGCGUUGCUCGGAAUUACUGGGCGUAAAGGGCGCGUAGGCGGGAUGGCAAGUCGGUCGUGAAAUCCCUCGGCUCAACCGAGGAACGUCGAUCGAUACUGCUGUUCCUGAGGAUUGCAGAGGAGACUGGAAUUCCCGGUGUGGCGGUGAAAUGUGUAGAGAUCGGGAGGAACACCGGUGGCGAAGGCGGGUCUCUGGGCAAUUCCUGACGCUGAGGCGCGAAAGCGUGGGGAGCAAACGGG
rnacentral:rRNA from 1 species